AUGUGCUAGAUGGAGGGUUAGCGGUCCUCUGAACCUGAAAUCCGCUAUAUGCAGGGUUGAAUUCCGUUGAGCGGGUUGUUAUGAAUAUUUAUAUUAAAAUAAAACUAUGAUGACCUUUACAGCUUUAUGCAAUAAAAAAAAUCUUAACUCCGUCAGGUCCGGAAGGAAGCAGCGGUAGGAUUUCUUUUUAUGUGACAUAAAACCCUGUAAAGUAGUAGUUUGUUUUUUUAGAAGAUAUAAACAAGCAGCUCAAUCAACGGUGCACAC
rnacentral:SRP_RNA from 1 species